AGCGAACGCUGGCGGCAUGCUUAACACAUGCAAGUCGCACGAACCUUUCGGGGUUAGUGGCGGACGGGUGAGUAACGCGUAGGAAUCUAUCCACGGGUGGGGGAUAACUCUGGGAAACUGGAGCUAAUACCGCAUGAUACCUGAGGGUCAAAGGCGCAAGUCGCCUGUGGAGGAGCCUGCGUUCGAUUAGCUAGUUGGUGGGGUAAAGGCCUACCAAGGCGAUGAUCGAUAGCUGGUUUGAGAGGAUGAUCAGCCACACUGGGACUGAGACACGGCCCAGACUCCGACGGGAGGCAGCAGUGGGGAAUAUUGGACAAUGGGGGCAACCCUGAUCCAGCAAUGCCGCGUGUGUGAAGAAGGUCUUCGGAUUGUGAAGCACUUUCGACGGGGACGAUGAUGACGGUACCCGUAGAAGAAGCCCCGGCUAACUUCGUGCCAGCCGCCGCGGUAA
rnacentral:rRNA from 1 species